UAACUCAGCCUGGCUAAGCGUAGGUCUCACAACUGAAAGGUCGUGGGAUCGAUUCCCGGAUU
rnacentral:tRNA from 16 species